AUUUUUACUUUUUUGUUUAUAUAUCAAAGUGUAAUAUAGUGUAGCAUGUAGUUUCCAUUUAUUAUAAUUAUUCUUAAUAUUCUAUGUAAUUAAAUUUGUUAGAACAUAAUUUUAAUUUGUUAUAAGCAUUUGAUCUAAUUUAUCACAAGAUAUAACUAGCGAAGAGGAUUCAGAUCAAGAACAGGACGAAUCAACUUUACGUAUAUUCAGAUAUUUAGAUAAUACUGAAUUAGAAUAAAAAAAAUUAAAAACAAUUAUAUUUUUGCACUUGCUUAGUUGUAUUUUAGUUCUAUUAAUUAUACAAUUUAUUAUAUUUGGUCAAACGUCGAUUUAGAGACGUUUUUAAUUUUGGCCACGAAAAGCGGGUUCCUGGACCACUGUGCGACGGGAUAAUCCUGUUCAGACGUGUCGUCCGACAUUCACCAGAGCUCAACUAUAUUUGUCGACACCUGCCGGCGAAGGUCCGAAUGUAUAAUAAUAUUGAGAAAUAUUCGGUCUUUCGUCGACGUAUUUGCAACAUUUCAAACGAUGUACCUAAUGGAUAUUCCUUUAACAAGAGAGGAAGUACAAUUGAAAGAAACCAUUUAAAAAAUGUUGCUUGAUAACAUAUUUGUAUUUAAUGAAAUUGAAGUUUCUGAAGAAUCGUCAUUGGACUUUUUGGAUCAAUUUAAAGAAUGUGAGGUUGAGUCUGUUGAAGAACAUUAUGAUGCAGACGAAAAUUGGUCUGGGGAGACACAUAUUGGAGUUUGUUCACAGCGUGAUGAAGAUGUUGAUGUUGAUUACAAACGGAAAGCAGUUGCGUUUUGGACAGAGGGGAAAAAAAGACGUAAACUUGCUACCGUUCAACAUAAUUUUAGACUUGUGUCUUCUGAACGGCAAUUACGAAGAUGGGCUCAUAAAAUUGAAACAAGUGGAACUAAAAAAGAAAGAUUAGCUCAAAUUUCCGAGUUCGUGAUAACAAAUAUGAAAAAAGCUAUUGAAUCCGGUUAUAUUUUGCAUGAUAGAAAUAUUCGACGAUGGGCUGUGCAAGCAUAUAAAGAACAAGGUAACGAUCAUAUGACAUUUUAAGCUUCCAAAACAUGGCUGUAUAAUUUAAAAAAAAACUCAUCGUAUUGUUUCUCGAAAAAUAACAAAAUUUGUAACACGAAAGGCAAUAGAAGACGAUGAAGUAUUGAAAGUUAAAGCUACAGACAUUGUCAAUGAAGUAAACCCUUUGAUUACGAGAUACGGAGAUGAAAAUAUGUACAAUUCAAUUAGAAAUACAUUCUGGACGAACUUUAGCGGUGAAAAGCCAAUAGAAAGUAGAGCGUGUUGUACAAUCUGUACAUUGAACAACGCAUAGUUACACAAUACAACCAAUAAUAACUGCUGAUGGAAGAUUAUUGUCGCCCCUUUUUGUGUUUUUGUAAGAAGCAAAUGGACAAUUUGGACCAAUAGUUCAAAAAACAUUAUUCAAACCGACUAAUGUGUACGUGACUGCAUCAAAAUCUGGGAAACUCACUUCUGCUCAUUUCAAAAUCUGGUUGAAAGAGGUCUUUUUUCCUAAUACUAAAACAACGUCUGUGUUGUUAUUAUACUCUUGAAGUGGACACUUUGAACAAGAUAUACAUAAUGCGAAACCAACGGGUAAAGAAAUUAUAAUUAAGAUACCAAAAGGUACCACUGGCCGAAUCCAACCUCUAGAUGUUUAUGGAUUUAGGGUGUGGAAGAAUUAUGUUUCUUCGAUGAUGUGCUGUUACAUGAUUACGAUGUUAAUUUUUAUUUAAGAAAUAAUAUAAUUAAGUUACAAUCACUUGUACACAAUCAACUGUCUUCACCAAGAUAUAAAAAUCUAUUCCAGUAUGCUUGGUACAAAAGUGGAUACACAGAAAAAGAAUCAGGAGAUUUUGUGAAUCCUGUAGAUUUUGCUUUUGAACAGAACGCACAAUACCGGUAAUUAGAUGCUCUUGGUGUAAAAAAGCAUUUUGUUUAAAACAUUUUUUUCAUGAAUAUCACUUCUGCGACAAAUAUGAAUAUUAAGUGAACCAUUUUGUAAACUGCAUGUAUCUUAUAAAAGCUUCAGAUUAUAAAUUUAUAUCACAUAUGCAUACCUAACAUACACGUGAAAUAUAAUUGCACCAAUCAUGUUACUAGUACCGGAAAUUAAUUUACAUAUCGCAUAUUAAUACAUAGAUAUGUACUAAUAUAAUUGUUAUUAAUAUUGUAAGCUUUAAAUAACUGUAUUAAUGCCUAGUAUACAUGGUAAACGUUAGAUAUCGUAAUGGAUAUUAACCGUACAUCCAUAUCUGGUAUGACCGCGACCCGGUGUAUGUGAACGAUGCAUAUUUUAUUUUAAAAUAUGCAAAAAUGUAAAAGGCAAACAUAGCAUAUAAUACAUCAAUGGAUUCAGAAACAAAUUUAUGUUUCUUUUUUGUUAUUAUGUAAGUUAUGAUUACUUUUAAAAUAAUGUUAUAAACAAAUUAUUUUUUACAAAAUUUAUGACCUGCUGUUAUAUGUUCAUGAAAAACCAUGAAACUUUUCCUUCGAAAGUUUUUUUCUAUCUAUAAUAGUUUCCGAGAUAGCCUAUUGUAGCCGAAACUUCAGGGGGUCGUUUCACCCUCUAAAUAUGAAAACGGGCAAAAAUAAAAAAAUACGUAUACCUUACUUUUCGGUCCUUUAAAACAUAUCCAAAAAUCAAAACAAUCGGAGGCGGACACCUAAAAACCCUUCCUUGCUAGUCGGACAUUAGCUAUAUCUAAAAGAACUGAAAUGUGACAAAAUUGUUUCAACCGUCAAAACAAAGGAGAGGAUAAAACAAACAACGUGCAACAUUUACUCGCUUCUAUCGCGUCUCCAUAGGCAGUAAAAUCAGUUAAUCGUUGACAUUCAAAUUCAAAGCAGUGCAUUGUUUGAAAUAAAGAGUGUUGUAUUUACCACAAUUUUGUGAGAGAAAGUCGUGAGUAGUGUUAUUGUAAAUUCUUCAUCGGAGUUUUUGGAAUGAAGAGGAUUUGAAAACUGCAAUUAACAAAGUUAUUGCAAGAAAAAUGAGCUUGAGAGAAGCAUCUUUAAAAUACAGUAUCCCAGAAAGCACAUUAUCUGAUAAGAUAACGGCUUUAAAGUCUGGGAAAGAAAUAAUAUUAAAACCUAAGCUAGGUGCAUUUACCACAAUUUUUCCAGUAGAAUAUGAAAAUCAAUUGGUAAAUCAUAUAAAAGACGUAGGUAAUCGGUGUUUGCCACUGACGAAAAGAGAAUUUUUAAAGCUGGCAUAUGACUUAACAGUAAAAAAGAAAAUAAAGAAAACCAAAGCAGUGAAACCGGAAGAUAUAAACGAAAAAACUCUUCGUGUGGUUUGUUUGGAGACGAAUGACGAGGACUGGAUACAAUGCUUAAAGUGUCAAGAAUGGGCUCACGAAGCUUGUGCCGAUAUACCAGAAUGUUCUGAUGAUUAUACAUGUGAUCGUCGUAAAUUAUUUUAGUAUUAUCGUACAAUAAUUUAAACAUAUUUGAUAUAUCCGAUAUUAGGUGCCACUCUCCACUUCAUUCAAAUCAAUAACCU